rnacentral:lncRNA from 7 species
GGUUGGACAAAGGCAUGCACAAAAUCUGUGAACAUUUUCUCCCAGAUGAGUUCUGUGGUGCCUACUAUCCAGGAAGACUCCCAGAAGCAGCUGUGGAGGUUUUUUCUCAAGAGUUUAACCUAUUUGAAUGGAAACAGAAAAGGAAAAAUAAAAGGCACAUUUUCGUCUUUCUGCUAUGCUACUUCUAUCAUGCUGAAGGAAUUCAGGGAGAACAGCACCCAUCCUUGGCAUUGACCCCAUCCUUGUGUGGAAAGCAUCUCUAACACCAUCCCCUCAAGGCACCAGGUUCAUUUCUUUUGACUUGCUCUCACUUUGGAUCUGCUGUGGUCCAGCUGUCUGAUGUAGGCUGAUGUGAUGAAACGGGAGCUUUUCUCUGAAGCUGUCCUUCAGCCUGACAUCCUCUUACCAGAGUAAAAUGUUUUGGCUUUCAGCUCCAGCUCCAGCAAUGUGCCAGGUCUUAUAAAGCAAGAAGGCUGGUUUUGUGCCUGUGCAGCUUACACUGGUGCACAUGGCAGCUGUCCUUUGGGGUCUAACUGGGAGUGGUUUAGAGCAAAUGGAAUAUAAGAUACAUGAAAAUGGAGGUGAAUCCCAAAUCACCUUGUAGAUAACAAACUUCCUGAGAUUAACUAUUUAAAACAAAAAGAACCGUACUUCAUCUUCCUGAGGAAUACUGAGGAAUUAGCUUUGCAAUUCUUCACAUUGUAAGGAUAAACAGUUUUGUAAUAACUGAAAACAAAUAAAUACAUACAGUGCCACUAC